AGAGUCUUGUGUUUACAGGCUCAGUGCUGUAGAGUUCUGCUGCUGCGGUAUGUCGCAAAUUCCUGGUUCGGGCACUUCUUCGAGUAUGUCUACUGACCGUGUUGAAGACCGGGAAGUAGAUGUGUUCGAGAGAUUAAUGCGUUCAUCGCUGAAAGAUGUAUGUAUUGACAGAGAAGGCGACAUCCAUGGAUUUUGCGAGACAGAAGAGGAUGUUGUUCAUCUUCUGGGCAACUUGCGCGUCCAUGGCUACGCAUACUCAGUUAGAAGAAGUGCGUAUUAUCGCCAGCCCCCUUCAGGUGCUGCUAAAUGUACUCUGUGUUCUUGUGCCACAUUUAAAAGCAGCAUUCAGAUCAGCUUUUUUUGGUUCUUUUGUAUUGCAUGGGAGCAAUGGGCAAGCCACAAGCAAAAUUUACAAAAGAGUUGCAGUUGCAGAUCACGUUGGCAACAUCAAGGUGACACAGUUGUCUUCUCCCAGCAGCGAGAGGCAAUGCUGUGAUCAUUCCUCUGAACCACCUCCUCUCGUGGAAAGUGUAAUUGACGCACAAUGCUUACCCAGGUGUGGUAGUCCCUACCGUUAAAAAUAAGGUUGCUGUGGCACAUUACCUGGUUGUGUAUCAUCAAGUCAAGACCGUAUCAGUCCAAGGGAAAAUAUAAUGAACACAAAUGAGUGAGUGCUCAGCUACAGUUUCAGACAAAUGGCUGAAUUUUCCAGGUUUUCUGUACAGUGAACAAAUUACCACAUGGAGACAGAAGU